rnacentral:rRNA from 1 species
UAGGGAAUCUUCCGCAAUGGGCGAAAGCUUGACGGAGCAACGCCGCGUGAGUGAUGAAGGUCUUCGGAUCGUAAAACUCUGUUAUUAGGGAAGAACAAAUGUGUAAGUAACUAUGCACGUCUUGACGGUACCUAAUCAGAAAGCCACGGCUAACUACGUGCCAGCAGCCGCGGUAAUACGUAGGUGGCAAGCGUUAUCCGGAAUUAUUGGGCGUAAAGCGCGCGUAGGCGGUUUUUUAAGUCUGAUGUGAAAGCCCACGGCUCAACCGUGGAGGGUCAUUGGAAACUGGAAAACUUGAGUGCAGAAGAGGAAAGUGGAAUUCCAUGUGUAGCGGUGAAAUGCGCAGAGAUAUGGGGGAACACCAGUGGCGAAGGCGACUUUCUGGUCUGUAACUGACGCUGAUGUGCGAAAGCGUGGGGAUCAAACAGG